ACAGCAGCAGGGAGAUGAGAGAGAGGAUUAUUAAACUCUGGAAACUAUUCUUCAUGUGGCUUGGCCCAGGGUAACAUUUCUCACUAGUGACCUACUUGCUACUACCUUGCUCUUAACAUCCUUAAGGAUGGUGCUGUCCCAGCCACACCUCUGGCUCCAUGGAUAAAGCUUCUGUAUCCAGUGCUGGUACGUUGGUUUGUUGUCUUGACAUUCCAUUUGUGUUUAUAUCCUGUUCAGAGCCACUGCAACGAACCUUUGCUGCCCUGUGUUUAAAUAGAGUAGACAUGGUUCAUUGUGGGCAUUAAAUACCUUCUAAAAGUAUCACACCUGGAAAAGUGAUAUCAGAGUAGAUGGAUUAUUUAUCUCAUUGGAUGUGAUGUGACAGAAGAGUCUGGAUUGAUCUGGGGAUACCUGAGCCAGUUCCUGAAGAGACUCUCCCUCCAUGACAUCAUCAAAGGCAAACUUGAAGAAAUGGGCAAUAUUUUGGCCUAUAUAUUUAAUAUUCUGCUGAGAUGUAGAUGCUGUGAUAGCAGGAAAAUGUUUUCUGGAUCUGUCUUACAGCUCCUGUUCCCCAGUGCUUAGUGCCAGUGGAGGAGCUGUGGUAGAAAAUCUGGAGAGAAACUUCUGUCCCAGAAAGCACCACGAGCUGUGUGCUUUGUCCUGUUCCUUUUCUGCUUCUAACCCUUCAUCAUCCCUUUCCUGCCUUCUAUGAAGUAAAGAAGAAACUAAGAUCAGCUAGUGAAGGAUUUCCUGGAUUUGUUGCAUAAUUUAGUUGCAAUAUGAACAUCUGCACUCUUCAUUAGUCAUUCACUAAGAGGUCAAAUAGAGAUCAUCCCCGAGGUGACAGGAAAGGCAAGGGUUACCACUGCUCUAGGCCAAGACAUUACAAUACUGAUGAUGACAAAACUAUUUGGCAGGGUUGCCAACAAUGCCAAAAAACAAGCCACCAUCCUAAUCAAGGGCAGUAUUUUGAUUGUUCAGAAAGCCAGCCCAGCUCCCUGCUGUCACACUGUGACAAUCCCCAGCCCAGUGUCAUUCCAGCUCCCCAGAGUGCUCUGCCAGCACUGGGAGAGUCUGCACACACAGCUCCCAGGAGCUGUACCUGGAUAAACAGUGAACUGGAGAUGGUGGAGGAGAAAUUCCCCAAGGGCUGAGUAAAAAGCACCAAGAAAUGGAGGUGUGACCACUCAGGGUGGCUGCAGCACAUCUUGACCACUGAAGGAACACCACCACGGGGUCCACUGAAGCAGCUUUCCUUGCUCACCUGAUGUUUCCAGGUCCCAAACAGGUGCUUCAUCCUCCCCCUGACACACGUGACUGGCACAAGGGCGUGUGGAAGGAAAAGUGCCAGGCUGUGCUCUGAGAAACUCCUGGGAAACACUGAUGCUGGCACAAAGAGCAAAGCACAAGGUUCCUGAAUAUUAGACAUUGUCCCUGCUGGCAGUUGCAGAGAUAUGAGCAAUGUGAUGGCACAGUUUCCUUGGCCAUACUUAAUGCCUUUAUUUUCAUCUAGACUUAUAUCCAAGGCUUGCAGUGCACUUCCUGUGGCAAGAUCCUCCAAGCAGUUAUGAGCUCUGCAAUGUCUCCUCCAAGCUUCUUCUUCUUCAGGAAUCUUGUUUGCAAUUACCAUGAUUCUGUUUGUCCUUUGUCAUGGCACAGAUAUGCAAUUUUUGUUUUGUGAGGGCAGGAAAGUUUGAGGAAGUAGAGUUAGAUUUUUAAUGACAUUUGCUUUAGAAAGGAAAGCACUCUAACAUGUGCUUGUGGUCCAGAAGAAUUGAGUGAAGUGUUCCAUUUGUUGUUCUCUCACUCCCAGAGUUACCAAUAUCCAUACCUAUAUGUUUUUUUAAUGCAGGUUGCUGUAACAUUAAGCCAGAUCACUCUAGAUGCCCACUAGAGCUGAUGGUCUGCUUGUGUGUCACCAGUGAAGCCAGCAAAAGGAAACAGAGUUCACUCAGCAUCCCCAUUUCUGGAAUAUUCAGAAGAGGAAAUAGUCCUAUUGGAAGAUUCCUACAGAAACCAAAGCCAAAAGGCAGCCCUGAUUUGGAACCUCUGCUAGAUUACUUUGUUACAAGUGGCCCAAAGAAGAAUGAUUUUCAUUCUUCAAUUCUUGUUGCAGCAGCAGCUCUGGGUUAAGCAGUGGUUAUGGUGUGCUCAGGGCACCAGCCCAGAAAAUCUGACACAGAGGGCCCAGAUGCAGAAUUUCCUGCGAUAACCUAAACCAAAUGCCACUGAGUGCAGCUCCCCUCAAGAUCUCCCCGUUCACAGCCUCGCUGGUGGCCAGCAUCCAGACUGAGCAUUAGUAAAACCAACAAACCAAACAGUUCCCACAGCAGGGACCAUUUCUAUAUGGGUCUGUACCUGGAUAACCUUGCAGUGCCAUCUUCUCUAGAUCACCAAACCACUGCACACUGGUGAUCUGCAGCUGUUCCAUUCCACCUCUUGGAUAAUGCUGCUGAAGUCCACCAGAAGGAGCCUUUGUGUAUCAAUUUUGCAUAAGCCUCGAGGAAUGUAUUAACAUUAAGAGAACUCCAGUUCCUGCCUCAAGGGAAGAAGAGGAGCUGGGAUUUCUCCUUUGAGAGAUGUGGAGCUCAUGUUUGAAGAAGAAAAAAGCCUGUGCUGCUUUUCCCCCCCCUGCUCAGCAUAAGCAUCGAGAACAGAGAUGCUGCUGGUCUCUCUGGAGAACUUUGCCAGCCCUGCCUGCCCUGCAGAGGAGCCAGAGUCUGGUUGGAUGAUUUGAAUCUCUGCCAUCAUUUGGAGCAGAAUGAAGCUCUGUAAAAGGCCAGUGACUGAAUGCCAACUGGGCUGUCAUUAGCUCGGGCAGCGCAGGAAGCAGCUGAUGUGCAGUUUGUGGUGGAAGUCAUGCAGACAGAAGGGGUGACUCAGGGGUGGAGAGGCCCCAGCCCUGGCUGCAGCCCAACCCCAAAGGUGUAUCCCAGGCUUGCUCUUCGGAUGGACCAGGGACUCCUUCUGGCUUCACAAGACACAAAGGCCCCAUGGACCAUCCAUUUGCUGUCCAUCUUUCAGUGAUGCUGGGUGCUGCUGGCCCAGCUCCAUCUUUCUUCCACAGUAAUCAAAGGAAAUGCGCCCUAAUCUUGAAGUCUGGUGCUUCAGAAGUAAAAAGCUUAAUGGCUUUCCUUGGCUUUUUGGUUUUUUUUCUCUCUCUCUUUUAUGAAGCAUAGGGUGUUUAGAACUAUGGAAGCAGUGCAAGAAAAAUAUUAAUGAAUAACUAUGGAGUGCAGACAUUAAUGCAUUCCUUUCUCUUGAAAUAACUGGCUUUUCUCUGUGGGGUCUGUAACAAAAAAAGUGUCUGCAGAGUCUGAACCUGCUGUAUAGAAGCCAAAGUAGAUGAUGAUUUAGA